UUGUCCUGGCAAUGCAGGUCAAGG
rnacentral:misc_RNA from 1 species